rnacentral:rRNA from 1 species
AAUUUUGGUUAAUGGGGGCAACCCUGAUCCAGCCAUCCCGCGUGUGCGAUGAAGGCCUUCGGGUUGUAAAGCACUUUUGGCAGGGAAGAAAAGGCUCUGGCUACUACGUGGAGCUGCUGACGGUACCUGCAGAAGAAGCACCGGCCAACUACGAGCCAGCAGCCGCGGUAAUACGUAGGGUGCAAGCGUUAAUCGGAAUUACUGGGCGUAAAGCGUGCGCAGGCGGUUCGGCAAGAAGGAUGUGAAAUCCCAGGGCUUAACCUUGGAACUGCAUUCUUAACUACCGGGCUAGAGUAUGUCAGAGGGGGGUAGAAUUCCGCGUGUAGCAGUGAAAUGCGUAGAGAUGCGGAGGAAUACCGAUGGCGAAGGCAGCCCCCUGGGAUAGUACUGACGCUCAUGCACGAAAGCGUGGGGAGCAAAC